rnacentral:misc_RNA from 1 species
GUAGGUGAACCUGCGGAAGGAUCAUUAAAAUCAAAGUGUGGUUUCACAACUACAUUAAACCAAAAAUGUGCAACUGUAUCGGAAACGUUGGGGUUUUUUUUGGCUAAAAGUUUCCCUGACGUUUAUUUGUUUUUAUUCAAAACUUUAGCUUUUUAUUUUAACCCGAUUUCACCUCGAUAUUCUUAGUAUGAACUUAACAUUUUUCUCGAUUCGAAAGGAUCACAGAAAAAAUCAUACGAAACUUAAGAACAACUCUUAACAACGGAUAUCUUGGCUCUC